rnacentral:rRNA from 1 species
GGGGGCCCGCAAGCGGUGGAGCAUGUGGUUCAAUUCGACGCAACGCGAAGAACCUUACCUGGGCUCGAAAUGUAGUGGAAUGAGGUAGAAAUAUCUCCGCCCCGCAAGGGGCCGCUAUAUAGGUGCUGCAUGGCUGCCGUCAGCUCGUGUCGUGAGAUGUUGGGUUAAGUCCCGCAACGAGCGCAACCCUUAUCUUUAGUUGCCAUCAGGUCAAGCUGGGCACUCUAACGAAACCGCCUCGGAUAACGGGGAGGAAGGUGUGGGAUGACGUCAAGUCCUCAUGGCCUUUAUGUCCAGGGCUACACACGUGCUACAAUGGCCGGUACAAACCGUCGCAAACUCGCGAGAGGGAGCUAAUCGGAAAAAGCCGGCCUCAGUUCGGAUUGGAGUCUGCAACUCGACUCCAUGAAGCUGGAAUCGCUAGUAAUCGCGGGUCAAAACGCCGCGGUGAAUACGUUCCCGGGCCUUGUACACACC